rnacentral:pre_miRNA from 1 species
UAUAUACUCUCUUCGUUCCAAAAUUCUUAUCUUAGAUUUGUCUAAAUAUAAAUGUAUCUAGUCAUGUUUUAGUAUUUAGGUACAUUCAUUUUUAGACAAACCUAAGACAAAAAAUUUGGGACGGAGGGAGUAUCUU